GAUCAUGGCUCAGAGUGAACGCUGGCGGCGUGCCUAAUACGUGCAAGUCGAACGGACAAGUAAGAGCUUGCUCUUAUGAGUUAGUGGCGCACGGGUGAGUAAUGUAUAGCUAAUCUGCCCUACACUAGAGGACAACAGUUGGAAACGACUGCUAAUACUCUAUACUCCUCUCUAGCAUAAGUUAGAUAGGGAAAAGUUUUUUCGGUGUAGGAUGAGGCUAUAUUGUAUCAG
rnacentral:rRNA from 1 species